UACGUAGGCAGCGAGCGUUUGUUCGGAGUUACUGGGCGUAAAGGGUGUGUAGGCGGUUCUUUAAGUUUGGUGUGAAAUCUCCCGGCUCAACCGGGAGGGUGCGCCGAAUACUGGAGGGACUAGAGUAUGGGAUGGGAAAGUGGAAUUCCUGGUGUAGCGGUGAAAUGCGUAGAUAUCGUCUGGAACGCCAAAGGUGAAAACAGCUCGCUGGGGUUGUGCUGACGCUGAGACACGAAAGCCAGGGGAGCGAACGGG
rnacentral:rRNA from 1 species